UAUAUAUAUAUAUUUCCACGUCAGAGAGCACGCGCCUUGCAAGCGCAACUCAGCGAGCGAGGUCACCACACAAGGUGAAUUCCUGAUCGCCUCCACGUACGCAAUCAAAACACUUGUAGACUGCCCGAAUAGCCGCCAGUACAUGAGCUUUCCUUACUGUAGCCACGCGAACGCCCUUCCAUUCAUUCAAGGUUAGCGGGUGUGAGUCACGUUUGUUUUUAUUUACUGCUAGGGGCGAGCGAACGUUCCAGAAAAUAUUCGCUCAUAUCGUAUACGUGUACGCUGCGUCUCGCACGGCUGGGAGAGACGAAAUCCCUCUGUUUUGCUGCAGCGCACGCCGUCAGCGAGCGGAUGCCGUCACAGGCAUGCACAAAAUCAAGAGUUUAGAAAUAAAACAAAAUCGGAAAAGCCGGCGAAGUCGACAAACGGGCGCCGUGCGAGCCCGGGCAAGCUCACCGCCGAGCUUAUCAGCGCUAGCGCCAGAUGGCGAGCGGCGCGUUUGCUCCCAUUUUGCGCUUUGUAGCUUGUUUUGGCUGGCGCGUUGACGUCACCGCCGGGACGGCAACAUAAACGCGCCGUCGCGGGCCAGCGUCUGCGUGUAUCGAAGAGUCUUCUCUGAGAGAAGGGAUCGAAGCAGUCUCUUGCAGCGUUCCAAACUCGAGCCUGCAAACUUCGUUUGCCUGCCUAUUCCUACCCGCUGCUGAGUUUUCUGCAUCCGUUUAGUUCCUUCAUCGAGUUCCCGUUGCGGCAAUAAGUGAGUCGUUCGAGAUGUCUGAAAGCCACUUUGACGAGUACGAGCACUACAACUUCGACCACGACAAGUUCCUGUAUGCGGGCCACAGCGGUAAACAGAGGUCCAAGAGGGAGGUUUCGGAGCACACCAACCACCAUGACCCGAGCGGCCACGUUCGCAAACUAGUCACCAAAAUGGCCAACACCGAGAGGAACCGCAGGAACUCGGGCGGCAACCGGCAUUGAAGUCUGGUCGUGUGUGGCAUCGCUGCCGGGCUGUCAUCACCCACCUGAGCACGGUUGUCGUGUGCCGCAUCUAAUUUAUGCUUCAACAACGGAACAUUGGACGUCGACUGUGAUCUUUACAAAUACCUUGGACAUUGCGUACUCACCGGGCCGGUGCGUGUGCACAGACUGUUUGCCUUUUCCUCCCUGGCCCUCUUUUUCUGUGAUGUCUCGUCGCUUGCUUUGACGCGCGGUGUGUGUUUCAUCUUUAUCCCCUCAUAAGUGUCGACGGUGGCCCGCUGGCAUCCUGUAGAAUAUUCCGGCUGUUGUCUGUCGGAGAGCCCGUUCGAGCUACCCGUCUUUGCCACUUUAUUAUUUGUUGUUUCGCUUUCAUAUUUAUCUCGCACUGUCGUGUCGUAGACAAUAAAUCAAAGAGGGCAACUCGUGAUGAAGAUAUCGUACGAGCAUAGGGUAUCACAACUAAAUAAAGUGUUAUGGCACUUAA